GACGAACGCUGGCGGCGUGCUUAACACAUGCAAGUCGAACGGAAAGGCCCUGCUUUUGUGGGGUGCUCGAGUGGCGAACGGGUGAGUAACACGUGAGUAACCUGCCCUUGACUUUGGGAUAACUUCAGGAAACUGGGGCUAAUACCGGCUAGGAGCUCCUGCUGCAUGGUGGGGGUCGGAAAGUUCCGGCGGUUGGGGAUGGACUCGCGGCUUAUCAGCUUGUUGGUUGGGUAGUGGCUUACCCAGGCUUUGACGGGUAGCCGGCCUGAGAGGGUGACCGGCCACAUUGGGACUGAGAGACGGCCCAGACUCCUACGGGAGGCAGCAGUGGGGAAUAUUGCACAAUGGGCGGAAGCCUGAUGCAGCGACGCCGCGUGCGGAAUGACGGCCUUCGGGUAGUGAACCGCUUUGGCCUGUGACGAAGCGUGAGUGACGGUAAUGGGUAAAGAAGCACCGGCUAACUACGUG
rnacentral:rRNA from 1 species